AGCUCCAAUAGCGUAUAUUAAAGUUGCUGCAGUUAAAAAGCUCGUAGUUGCAUUUCCGAGGCAAGGGAUUAGUCCGACCUUUGGUGGGUAUUUAAUCCUCUUGCCUCGUCCUUGAGUGGUGCUUCUUGGUAUUAAGUUAUCGAGGAGAUAGCCGCUCAUCGUUUACUGUGAGAAAAUUAGAGUGUUCAAAGCAGGCUUAUGCCGUUGAAUAUAUUAGCAUGGAAUAAUAAGAUAGGGCCUCGGUACUAUUUUGUUGGUUUGAGAACCAAGGUAAUGAUGAAUAGGGACAGUUGGGGGUAUUCGUAUUCAGUUGUCAGAGGUGAAAUUCUUAGAUUUACGGAAGACGAACUACUGCGAAAGCAUUUGCCAAGGAUGUUUUCA
rnacentral:rRNA from 1 species